rnacentral:misc_RNA from 1 species
AAAAACACUCCACCGACCAUCAACAAUGUCCCUGCAAGCAUAAGUGUCGAUAGCACCACCACCGGAAGUGGCGUCACCAUAUUUACCAUAAGUGCUUCCGACACUGAAGGGGAUCAAUUGUACUUUGAGAUAAUUUGCGACCCAACUGGAUGUCCAUUUGAGGUUUUUGCCUCGGGGGCUAUCUUAACGACGGCCUCUCUGGAAGGAACGACCGUCGGCGGAUAUGACAUCAAUGUUUACGUCAAUGACAGUAGGACGAAGGUUGGCCCCAAAGUUCUCUCCGUCACUAUUACUAAUGUGAACUCGGCCCCAACGAUCACCAACAAACUAACCACGCCGGUGUCAGUGUCAGAGAAUGUGGCUGUGGGCACCACCGUCAGACAGUACACCGCCACUGACGUCAACGGUGGCACACUAACCUACUCCGCCACCUACAACCCCACCUCAGGGGGAACCUACUUCAGCAUUGUGUCAACGUCCGGUGUUGUACGAACUGCGAGCUCUAUCAACUAUGAGACCCUGACUGUGGCGGAGCGGACUGUGUUGAUAACUGUCACUGUCAGAGACACGGGCGCGCUGUCAGACACAACAACACUCACAGUCAGCAUCAUCGACCAAAACGAGGCUCCUGCGUUUCCAAAAACCACCUACACAUUAGUUACGGAUGAAGCAGGGGCGGGAGCUUCCAUCGGGAAUCCGAAUUUUCAGGCUACCGAUCCCGACGCUUCUUCUACGAUAACGUACAGCACGACCUGUACAGAGGUGACAAUCGACUCUUCAACCGGAGCCGCCAGUUUUACUUCGGCCUACGACAUGGACGUGGCAGGAACAACUGGAUCAAUCACGUGUCCAAUCACUGUCAGUGACGGGGCUCUAACUGACACAGCUACACUGACAGUUACUGUCAACAACAUCAAUGACAACACACCGACUUUUGGUCAGGCGUCUUAUACCUUCACAACAGCCAAUACAGCAGCGGUUGGAACGACGCUGGGGUCUGUAGCCGCAACGGACGGAGAUCUAAGCACAUCUUCCUUUGGUUAGAUCGUUUCACCUUAUAUUUACCUUGAAAAUAUAAACACAAAUUAAAUUUCAAAUGAUCAUUUUAUCAAAAAAAGUUGAAUGAAUAUAUGAGUAUUUAUUUUCAAAAGCAAAAUUCUCAUUUCUCUUAACCAGGUACAAUAACAUACGAACUUAAUCAACUUACUCUUGGGGGAGACUACUUUGGAAUUACAACGACCGGUAAUUUGUACGUCAAAUCGGCAAUUACAUCGCUCUCCCUGGGCGCCACCUACACCAUGACGGCGACGGCACGUGACGGCGGGCUUCUGUCUGACACCGCGGACAUUACCAUCAUCAUACCGUCUACCACCACCACCACCGCCGCCACCACAACAGAUAGAUCAAAGACGUUCUUCGAGGACCCGCGGAAUAUUGCGUGGUUCACGGCAGCCAUGGUUGUCCUUGCUUUAACGAUUGGGCUCAUUCUUUAUAUGUGUAUACGAUACGGAUUCCAUUUCAAAAAGUAUCAGAAAACGUACAGAUCUCGUCGAGUAGACCAGGACCGGGAAAGAUUAGGCGGUAAAUCUAAUUUCUUUUAUUUGGGGGCAUGAAGUUCUAUAAUAUUAUCGAUGCAUGUAUGUAUUUUAAUUACACCUUUUUAAUAUCUUGGGGAAAAAAUAAGCAUUUUCUUAUCCGCCAACUGAGGGCAAUAAACUUCCGGCAAUUGAACCUCAUCUAGUGAGAUAUUAUUGUACUUUUUUGUUUAUUGGAAGUUUUUAAGUUAUUGUUAACGAUUCCCUCCAACCCUUAUUUUAAGAACCAUAAAAAACAUAUUAUAAGAAUUUCGAAGUUUGGUUGAUUUAUUUUGUUCAACGAGUUAUUUUUCUCCUUUUUUGGCUUGGAACUUAAUUUCUCAUUACAUGUAUAUAUUUUGACAGAAUUUGUGGAGGGAAAAUGGAAACCUUGGAAAGUGUGGGAUAAGCCGCGCUGAUAAUGGACACCGAAGAUCAGAUUAACUCUUCUUUUAAAACAAAUAUUAUCGUACUAGAUUCUUGAAAUAUUUAACUGGCUUUUGAACAAAUUUGGAUAUAUUUUAUACAUAGUCUAUUUUGCGAUUAAACAGCCAUUGUUUUCAAAAGGGAUGUAGAGUUCAUGUUUAUGAUGCUAUUUGGAUGUCAUUAUUUUCCUUAAUCAAACCAAAAGAACAGUGAAGUGUUUUAGUUAAAUGAAUUGUUAUUGCUGAAAAAUGAAAUUGAUAUUUAUUGUGCAAACAUGUCAACGAUGAUUUGUGAAAUGAACUGACAAUGUGUCUAGAGGAUUGCAUAAUUAUAUUCAUGUUUAUUU